rnacentral:lncRNA from 1 species
GACGCCUCAUCCAGGAAGCCGAGAUCAAGUUCGGGGAACCUUCUGGCCACCUUCUUUUGGCAGAGUUCGAAUCCCUUGAUGAAGGCAUCCUGACCGAACUGGACCUGUAGAUCCUCCAUCUCGGAGGAGGCCUUGAACUCCUCCACUGCUCCAGCCCCUGCCUCCGAGACCAGGGAUGGGAUCCGCACUUUCAGCUCGAAAACCUGCACCUUCAACUCGAAAGCCUGCACC